rnacentral:sRNA from 1 species
GGACAUGAGGGCGAUCUGGCUGCGACAACUGUCACCCCACUGAUCGCCAGGGUUGAUUCAGCUGAUCUGGCUGGCUAGGCAAGGGUCCCCUUCCUCCCUCACCUCUCCAUGUGUGUCCCUGCCAAAGCUGCGCUCCCCUGCUAGAACCUCCAGAAGAACUUCAGUACAAAUUCUAGUGACAAAUGGAGGCCACUAUAACCAGGCCAAGAAAAACUCACCAUAGUUUUCAAGUCCUCUGGCCUCAGGGAAGGAAGUUG